GGGGGAGCGGCGGACGGGUGAGUAACGCGUGGGAAUUUUCCUCAAGGUACGGAACAACUCAGGGAAACUUGGGCUAAUACCGUAUGAUGCAGAGAUGCCAAAGAUUUAUCGCCUUGGGAUAAGCCCGCGUCAGAUUAGGUAGUUGGUGGGGUAACGGCCUACCAAGCCUGCGAUCUGUAGCUGGUCUGAGAGGACGAUCAGCCACAUUGGGACUGAGACACGGCCCAAACUCCUACGGGAGGCAGCAGUGGGGAAUCUUGCGCAAUGGGCGAAAGCCUGACGCAGCCAUGCCGCGUGAAUGAUGAAGGUCUUAGGAUUGUAAAGUUCUUUUGCCCGUGACGAUGAUGACGGUAACGGGAGAAUAAGCCCCGGCUAACUUCGUGCCAGC
rnacentral:rRNA from 1 species